CUUACAAAUAAUUUUCACUGUUGUAUUGUAUAUAAAAUAUUAUAUAUAAACAGAUUUAAUAUAAAACUUUUUAUAUUACAUAAAUUACAGUAUUAAAUAUAAUUAAUUUCUUUAUAUAUCUUUUUUUAUAGAAUUAUAGAGAUUUUACAUAUUUAUUGCAAUUGGCUAUAAUAUAAAGCAAUAAAUAUUUAAGGUUCAUUUACACAAUACGUCAGAUAUUUAUCGAAAGUUAACUAGGGGAUUUAAAUUGAACAAUACUUAAACGGAAUUUGACAAUAUUGAUUAAAUUUAAGAAAACUGAAAAAAAUAAAAUAAUAUAUAAAAAUGGAUAAUCAAUCAACAUCUUCAGCAUCUUUUUAUGAAUCUUCUUCACAGUAUAAAGAAGAAAAUACUAUAUUACUUUAUCAAAACAUAAAAAUGAUUUUGCAAGAUGUAUUGAAAGGUGUAAAUGAUGUUGAUAAAAACUUAAAAGAUAUAGAAGGAGACAUCAUAAAUACAGCUAAAUUGCUUAACGCAAUUGAAAUAAAAUCAAAUGAAAUUUAAUUAUUUUUUUAUAUUAGUAUUAAAUAAUGUACAAAUAAAAAAUCCAAAAUAAAUAAAAUUUUUUCUAAUUUUUAA